AAGUCGUAACAAGGUUUCCGUAGGUGAACCUGCGGAAGGAUCAUUACCGAGUAAGGGUCUUCUGGGCCCGACCUCCAACCCUUUGUUUAUCAAACCAUGUUGCUUUGGCGGGCCCGCCUCUUCGGGGCCGCUGGGGGCCUUACCGCCUCUGGCCAGUGCCCGCCAGUGGCCUUUUCCAAAACUCUCUUAACCUAUUGUCUGAGUCUAAACAAAAAUCGUUUAAAACUUUCAACAACGGAUCUCUUGGUUCUG
rnacentral:misc_RNA from 1 species